rnacentral:rRNA from 1 species
UACGUAGGGUGCUAGCGUUACUCGGAAUCACUGGGCGUAAAGGGUGCGUAGGCGGGUCUUUAAGUCAGGGGUGAAAUCCUGGAGCUCAACUCCAGAACUGCCUUUGAUACUGAGGAUCUUGAGUUCGGGAGAGGUGAGUGGAACUGCGAGUGUAGAGGUGAAAUUCGUAGAUAUUCGCAAGAACACCAGUGGCGAAGGCGGCUCACUGGCCCGAUACUGACGCUGAGGCACGAAGGCGUGGGGAGCAAACAGG